CAUUUUUGGGUCAAAAAAGGCUGAUUUUGGUUCACUUUGUUGUCAGAGCUCCCGUCCCAACCGAGUUUGACUUUGAGGAUGAACCCACAGCGCCACGGAGUGAGCUCAUGGAGAGACGCAGAGCACCAGGCAGCGCCGCCCGUCGUCGCCGCGAGGCCCGUUUGGACAAAGUCCUUUGGGACAUGCAACGCCACCGGAGACUGGAGGAACAGAUCCUACGGACAGGCCGGGACCUAUUUCCACCCACCAAAUACUGAAAAAACCCAAAAAACCCCAUUUUUAUGGCCCAAAAAGCUCCUUUUUCACCCCAAAAAGAGACUUUUAGGCCUAACUAGGCCUCAUGAGGCCUAACUAGGCCGCGUUGUCGCCUCUUGAUGACGUCAUAGCUGCGACUUCCUGUUUUAGCCCCGCCUCUUCCUGUUGAGGCCGCCAUCUUGUCCCUCACAAAUACUGAUAAACCCCCACAAAAACGCCAUUAUUAUGCCCAAAUAAACAACUUUUUCACCCCCAAAAUCGACUUCCCCCCACCAAAUACUGAAAAAACCCAAAAAACCCCAUUUUUAUGCCCCAAAAAGCAAAUUUUUCACCCCAAAAAGUGACUUUGAGGCCUACCUAGGCUUCUUGAGGCCUAACUAGGCCGCUUUGUCGCCUCUUGAUGACGUCAUAGCUGUGACUUCCUGUUUUAGCCCCGCCUAUUCCUGCUGAGGCCGCCAUCUUGUCCCCCAAGCAAAUACUAAAAAACCACCCCAAAAAUGUCACUUUUAUGCCCCAAAAACCUUCUUUUUCACCCCAAAAAGAGACUUUGAGGCCUAACUAGGCCGCUUUGUCGCCUCUUGAUGAUGUCAUAGCCGCGACUUCCUGUUUUAGCCCCGCCUCUUCCUGCUGAGGCCGCCAUCUUGUCCCCCCAGCAAAUACUGACCCCCCCCCCCAGAAAAUGCCAUUUUUAUGCCCCCAAAACCUUCUUUUUCACCCCCAAAAUUGACUUUCCCCCACCAAAUACUGAAAAAAACCCAAAAAAACCAUUUUUAUGCCCCAAAAACCUUCUUUUUCACUCCAAAAAGUGACUUUGAGGCCUAACUAGGCUUCUUGAGGCCUAACUAGGCCGCUUUGUCGCCUCUUGAUGACGUCAUUGCUUUGACUUCCUGUUUUAGCCCCGCCUCUUCCUGUUGAGGCCGCCAUCUUGUCCCCCAAGGAAAUACUAAAAAACCACCCCCAAAAAUGCCAUUUUUAUAACCCAAAAACCAACUUUUUCACCCCAAAAAGCGACUUUCCCCCACCAAAUACUGAUAAACGCCCCAAAAGCCCCAUUUUUAUGCCCCAAAAACCUCAUUUUUCACCCCAAAAAGUGACUUUGAGGCCUACCUAGGCUUCUUGAGGCCUAACUAGGCCGCGUUGUCGCCUCUUGAUGACGUCAUAGCUGUGACUUCCUGUUUUAGCCCCGCCUCUUCCUGCUGAGGCCGCCAUCUUGUCCCCCCAACAAAUACUGACAAAACCCCAAAAAAUGCCAUUAUUAUGCCCAAAUAAACAACUUUUUCACCCCCAAAAGCGACUUCCCCCCACCAAAUACUGAAAAAACCCCAAAAACCCAAUUUUUAUGCCCCAAAAACCUUCUUUUUCACCUCAAAAAGAGACUUUUAGGCCUAACUAGGCCUCUUGAGGCCUAACUAGGCCGCGUUGUCGCCUCUUGAUGACGUCAUAGCUGGGACUUCCUGUUUUAGCCCCGCCUCUUCCUGCCGAGGCCGCCAUCUUUGUUUUCCUUCCAACCAAAAAAACCAAAAACCGACGAUUUUAUGCCCCAAAAAUCGUCUUUUUCACCCCAAAAAGUGACUUCCCCCCACCAAAUACAGAGCAAAACAUUAAAAAAGGCCAUUAUUAUGCCCCAAAAUCUUCCUUUUUCACCCCAAAAAGAGACUCUGAGGCCUAACUAGGCCUCAUAAAGCCAUGGUCGCCUCUUGA